rnacentral:rRNA from 1 species
GGUCAAGCGAAUAAGCGCACACGGUGGAUGCCUAGGCGGUCAGAGGCGAUGAAGGACGUGGUAGCCUGCGAAAAGUGUCGGGGAGCUGGCAACAAGCUUUGAUCCGGCAAUAUCCGAAUGGGGAAACCCACUGCUUCGGCAGUAUCUUGCAGUGAAUUCAUAGCUGCUUGAAGCGAACCCGGUGAACUGAAAUAUCUAAGUAACCGGAGGAAAAGAAAUCAACCGAGAUUCCCUGAGUAGUGACGAGCGAACGGGGAACAGCCCUUAAGCUGGAAUGGCUUUAGAAAAACAAUCUGGAAAGAUUGGCCAUAGAAGGUGAUAGCCCUGUAUUUAAAAGGGCCACUCCAGUGAAGACGAGUAGGGCGGGGCACGUGAAACCCUGUCUGAAUAUGGGGGGACCAUCCUCCAAGGCUAAAUACUCCUGACCGACCGAUAGUGAACCAGUACCGUGAGGGAAAGGCGAAAAGAACCCCGGAGAGGGGAGUGAAAUAGAUCCUGAAACCGUGUGCGUACAAGCAGUAGGAGCUCGCAAGAGUGACUGCGUACCUUUUGUAUAAUGGGUCAGCGACUUACUGUUCGUGGCAAGCUUAACCGUAUAGGGGAGGCGAAGGGAAACCGAGUCUGAUAAGGGCGCAUAGUCGCGGGCAGUAGACCCGAAACCGGGUGAUCUAGUCAUGGCCAGGGUGAAGGUGCCGUAACAGGUACUGGAGGCCCGAACCCACGUCUGUUGCAAAAGACGGGGAUGAGCUGUGAUUAGGAGUGAAAAGCUAAUCGAACCCGGAGAUAGCUGGUUCUCCUCGAAAGCUAUUUAGGUAGCGCCUCGGACGAAUACUACUGGGGGUAGAGCACUGUUAUGGCUAGGGGGUCAUCGCGACUUACCAAACCAUUGCAAACUCCGAAUACCAGUACGUACUAUCCGGGAGACACACGGCGGGUGCUAACGUCCGUCGUGAAAAGGGAAACAACCCAGACCCACAGCUAAGGUCCCAAAUUCACUGCUAAGUGGAAAACGAUGUGGAAAGGCAUAGACAGCCAGGAGGUUGGCUUAGAAGCAGCCACCCUUUAAAGAAAGCGUAAUAGCUCACUGGUCGAGUCGGUCUGCGCGGAAGAUUUAACGGGGCUAAGCAGUGAACCGAAGCUUGGGGUGCGUAAAACUUCGGUUUUAUGCGCGGUAGAGGAGCGUUCCGUAAGCCUGCGAAGGUGGAUUGAGAAGUCUGCUGGAGGUAUCGGAAGUGCGAAUGCUGACAUGAGUAACGAUAAUGCGGGUGAAAAGCCCGCACGCCGAAAGCCCAAGGUUUCCUUGCGCAACGUUAAUCGACGCAGGGUUAGUCGGUCCCUAAGGCGAGGGCGAAAGCCGUAGUCGAUGGGAAGCAGGUUAAUAUUCCUGCACCUCGCGUGAGUGCGAUGGAGGGACGGAGAAGGUUAGGUGUACCGGGCGUUGGUUGUCCCGGGGAAAGGCGGUAGGUUUGGAUCUUUGGCAAAUCCGGGAUCCUUUAAGACCGAGCACCGAGACGAGCCUUUAUGGCGAAGUCACUGAUACCACGCUUCCAGGAAAAGCUCCUAAGCUUCAGCUCACGAAGACCGUACCGUAAACCGACACAGGUGGGUAGGAUGAGAAUUCUCAGGCGCUUGAGAGAACUCGGGUGAAGGAACUAGGCAACAUGGCACCGUAACUUCGGGAGAAGGUGCACCCUUUUUGGUGGCUCAUGCGAGCUAUAGCUGAAGAGGGUCGCAGAAACCAGGCCGCUGCGACUGUUUAUCAAAAACACAGCACUCUGCAAACACGAAAGUGGACGUAUAGGGUGUGACGCCUGCCCGGUGCUGGAAGGUUAAUUGAUGGGGUCAGCCGCAAGGCGAAGCUCUUGAUCGAAGCCCCAGUAAACGGCGGCCGUAACUAUAACGGUCCUAAGGUAGCGAAAUUCCUUGUCGGGUAAGUUCCGACCUGCACGAAUGGCGUAACGACAGCGGCGCUGUCUCCACCCGAGACUCAGUGAAAUUGAAAUCGCUGUGAAGAUGCAGCGUUCCCGUGGCAAGACGGAAAGACCCCGUGAACCUUUACUAUAGCUUUACACUGAACGUUGAGUUCGUCUGUGUAGGAUAGGUGGGAGGCUAUGAAACUGUGGCGCUAGCUGCAGUGGAGCCAACCUUGAAAUACCACCCUGUCGUGCUUGACGUUCUAACCUAGAUCCGUUAUCCGGAUCAGGGACCGUGUAUGGUGGGUAGUUUGACUGGGGCGGUCUCCUCCUAAAGAGUAACGGAGGAGCACGAAGGUACGCUCAGCGCGGUCGGACAUCGCGCAAUGUGUGCAAAGGCAUAAGCGUGCUUGACUGCAAGAUCGACGGAUCAAGCAGGUACGAAAGUAGGUCUUAGUGAUCCGGUGGUUCUGUAUGGAAGGGCCAUCGCUCAACGGAUAAAAGGUACUCCGGGGAUAACAGGCUGAUACCGCCCAAGAGUUCAUAUCGACGGCGGUGUUUGGCACCUCGAUGUCGGCUCAUCACAUCCUGGGGCUGUAGUCGGUCCCAAGGGUAUGGCUGUUCGCCAUUUAAAGUGGUACGCGAGCUGGGUUCAGAACGUCGUGAGACAGUUCGGUCCCUAUCUGCCAUGGGCGUUGGAAGUUUGAGAGGGGCUGCUCCUAGUACGAGAGGACCGGAGUGGACGAACCUCUGGUGUUCCGGUUGUCACGCCAGUGGCAUUGCCGGGUAGCUAUGUUCGGAAGCGAUAACCGCUGAAAGCAUCUAAGCGGGAAGCGCGCCUCAAGAUGAGACUUCCCGGGGCACAAGCCCCCUAAAGGAACCAUAUAGACUAUGUGGUUGAUAGGUCAGGUGUGUAAGUACAGCAAUGUAUUGAGCUAACUGAUACUAAUGAUCCGUGCGGCUUGACCAU